GAUGAACGCUAGCGGGAGGCUUAAUACAUGCAAGUCGAACGGCAGCAUAACACUUCGGUGUUGAUGGCGAGUGGCGCACGGGUGAGUAACGCGUACACAACCUACCUAUAAGAGGGGGAUAGCCACUGGAAACGGUGAAUAAUACCCCAUAGUAUUGAUUUUUAGAUUAUUGAUCAAUUAAAGCUCCGGCGCUUAUAGAUGGGUGUGCGUCCGAUUAGCUAGUUGGUAAGGUAACGGCUUACCAAGGCGACGAUUGGUAGGGGGCGUGAGAGCGUGACCCCCCACACGGGUACUGAGACACGGACCCGACUCCUACGGGAGGCAGCAGUAAGGAAUAUUGGACAAUGGAGGCAACUCUGAUCCAGCCAUCCCGCGUGUAGGAAGACUGCCCUAUGGGUUGUAAACUACUUUUAGAUAGGAAGAACGAUUUCGAUUUAUCGAGAUGUGACGGUACUAUCAGAAUAAGCACCGGCUAACUCCG
rnacentral:rRNA from 1 species